UGCUCAGAUAAGGGUUCAACUCUACCGGAU
rnacentral:piRNA from 1 species